rnacentral:rRNA from 1 species
AACGAACGCUGGCGGCAUGCCUAACACAUGCCAGUCGAACGAGACCUUCGGGUCUAGUGGCGCACGGGUGCGUAACGCGUGGGAACCUGCCCUUAGGUUCGGAAUAACUCCCCGAAAGGGGUGCUAAUACCGGAUAAUGUCUUCGGACCAAAGAUUUAUCGCCUUUGGAUGGGCCCGCGUUGGAUUAGCUAGUUGGUAGGGUAAAAGCCUACCAAGGCGACGAUCCAUAGCUGGUCUGAGAGGAUGAUCAGCCACACUGGGACUGAGACACGGCCCAGACUCCUACGGGAGGCAGCAGUGUGGAAUAUUGGACAAUGGGCGAAAGCCUGAUCCAGCAAUGCCGCGUGAGUGAUGAAGGCCUUAGGGUUGUAAAGCUCUUUUACCCGGGAUGAUAAUGACAGUACCGGGAGAAUAAGCUCCGGCUAACUCCGUG